rnacentral:rRNA from 1 species
AGCGAACGCUGGCGGCAGGCCUAACACAUGCAAGUCGAACGAACCUUUCGGGGUUAGUGGCGGACGGGUGAGUAACACGUGGGAACGUGCCUUUAGGUUCGGAAUAACUCAGGGAAACUUGUGCUAAUACCGAAUGUGCCCUUCGGGGGAAAGAUUUAUCGCCUUUAGAGCGGCCCGCGUCUGUUUAGCUAGUGGGUUGAGGUAAUGGCGCACCAAGGCGACGAUCAGUAGCUGGUCUGAGAGGAUGAGCAGCCACAUUGGGGCUGAGACACGGCCCAAACUCCUACGGGAGGCAGCAGUGGGGAAUCUUGCGCAAUGGGCGAAAGCAUGACGCAGCCAUGCCGCGUGAAUGAUGAAGGUCUUAGGAUUGUAAAAUUCUUUAACCGGGGACGAUAAUGACGGUACCCGGAGAAGAAGCCCCGGCUAACUUCGUG